rnacentral:rRNA from 1 species
AACCUCCGCAAUGUGAGAAAUCGCGACGGGGGGAUCCCAAGUGCCAUUCUUAACGGGAUGGCUUUUCAUUAGUGUAAAGAGCUUUUGGAAUAAGAGCUGGGCAAGACCGGUGCCAGCCGCCGCGGUAACACCGGCAGCUCUAGUGGUAACAAUUUUUAUUGGGCCUAAAGCGUCCGUAGCCGGUUUAAUAAGUCUCUGGUGAAAUCCUGCAGCUUAACUGUGGGAAUUGCUGGAGAUACUAUUAGACUUGAGACCGGGAGAGGUUAGAGGUACUCCCAGGGUAGAGGUGAAAUUCUGUAAUCCUGGGAGGACCGCCUGUUGCGAAGGCGUCUAACUGGAACGGUUCUGACGGUGAGGGACGAAAGUUAGGGGCGCGAACCGGAUUAGAUACCCGGGUAGUCCUAACUGUAAACGAUGCGGACUUGGUGGUUGGGUGGCUUUGAGCUGCUUCAGUGCCGAAGGGAAGCUGUUAAGUCCGCCGCCUGGGAAGUACGGUCGCAAGACUGAAACUUAAAGGAAUU